GUCCAUUCGAGGAAAAGCUGCUAAAACAAUUAUUUUUUCUUUUCCCUCGCGCCUAAAUUUUAGUACUUUAUUUACCCUAAAGACUGCAAAUAAGAGGGGGGGGGAAAGCUACGCUCUAAAUCACAUAAAGUAUCUUCUCAAUUUGGUAGCUCUCUGCAACCAAAAUUCUUGGCCACCAUAACAAUUGCUGGAGCUAUGCGAACUAGAGGUGAAAACAGGAUGGUUAUUCAACAACAUGAUGAUGCUGAUGCGCGACCUUAUAUUGAACAAUUGAUGAAUAGUCAGAACUGAUCUCAAGUACAAACACAUGAUAUUCAAUCUAAUGAAUUGUAUAAUUCUACCAAUACUAAGAUUCAAUAGAAUGAUGAAUCAAGUAAUACUUUUUGUUUAUCUACUGGACAUGUUAGUUCAUUUACUGAGUGGUACAUUGUUCUUAUUUUUAUUGUUCCUUGGGAUUUUCUAUAAAUAUUUUUAUGUUGGUUGUGUCCUGCACUCCCAUGCUCUUACUACAGAAGUAUAUACCUCUUAAAAAUUUUAUUCCAUAGUAUAUUUUGUUGUCCUUGAGACUUUUUGGUGAUAACAUCUUAUAGUAGAUUAAAAGAAAAAUAGAAGAUGUUGCACUAAUUUGGAAAACAACUGUUCCAUUCUCUAUAUGGAUUUGAUGAUCAUUAAAUCUUUUUCAAAUCAGGUAGUUCUGAUGAAAGAAAGGUUCGUGGGACCACAAUAUUAAAAGAUAUCUGAAAACUGCCACCAGGGAAUAUAAUUGCUAUACAAUUCAAUAAUCGUAACCAACCCAUAAGAAAAGAGGGUCGAAAGCUUGCUAGCUUUCUAGGCAUAAUCGUUAGAACUCCAGAACUAACACCUCUAAACAUAGAUGAUUGGAGAAACUUUACCAAAGAUGAAAAGAAGAAACUGGUGGAGUUUGUGAAGGUAUGGAGUUAUUAUUAUUCUUAUGAUGUGUGAAUAUAAUAAUAUAUUAUUUUAUUAUACGUGAUAUUAUCUUUUGAUUGUUUUAUUUUAUUUCACAAAAGAAGUUCUCUAUCCCAACUCGUGGAGAAGCAUAUGUCAUAAAGUCAACAGGAAAGAAAUGGAAGGAUUACAAAUGUGACUUGAAAAAUGUGUAUACGACAAAAUUUAAGACGAAAUAUGCUUUGCUAAGAAAUAACCAAGUCAUAUACCACGAGAUCAAUGGACCAGUCUGGUCUCUUAUUGGCUUUCUGAUAAAGCGAAAGUAUCAAUUUUAUACUUUUAAAAUACACAUUUAAUUUUUAUUAUGUGAUUGUUUUUGUUAGUUUUUAUGUAUAAAUAAUUAGAUAUUACUUUUAUGUUGUAAUGAUAGAAGCGUACACAAGCAAAUAGAAAUAGCAGAUCAAAUCAAAAGAUGCCUCACAUAGGAGGGUCAAAAGGUAUUGUCGCCUUGAUGGAUGAGAAGAUAUUCUUGUGUAUAUUUUAAAAUUUAAUUUUCUAAAACUCUCUUUGUUAUGCAUAUUUGAUAUUAUUAUAUUAUAUUAGGCUGAAAAUGGGAUAGAGCUUACAUGAGCAUACGUUUUCAUAUUAACUCAUAAACAACGUAAGGAUGGUAGGCCACUGGAUGUAGAGUCUGCAAGGACAAUCGUCAUACAGUCUGAUUAUCGAUAAUUUAGCCGGUGGAAGAUUUCAAAAUGAUGAAGCAUUGCAGAAAUUAUUUGAAGACUAUUAUUUGUUAGGAUUAGUUAUAUAAUGACAAUAGCUAUUUGCUUCAAAUAAUAUAAGUUUAUUUUUUAAGUUACUGUGAUAUUACUAUUUUGGAUUAGUACUUCCUUUUAUUUUUUAAGAUUUA